AGCAGCCGCGGUAAUUCCAGCUCCAAUAGCGUAUAUUAAAGUUGUUGCAGUUAAAAAGCUCGUAGUUGAAUUUCGGGAUCAAUGGGUCGGUCAUGCCCUCGGUAUGUACUGAUUUCAUUGGUUCUCACCUUCUAAGGAACCAUGAUGUCAUUUAUUUGAUGUUGUGGGAAAUUAGGACUGUUACCUUGAAAAAAUUAGAGUGUUUAAAGCAGGCUAACGCUUGAAUACAUUAGCAUGGAAUAAUGAAAUAGGACAUCCGAUUCUAUUUUGUUGGUUUCUAGGAUCGAUGUAAUGAUUAAUAGGGAUAGUUGGGGGCAUUAGUAUUCAAUUGUCAGAGGUGAAAUUCUUGGAUUUAUUGAAGACUAACUACUGCGAAAGCAUUUGCCAAGGAUGUUUUCAUUAAUCAAGAACGAAAGUUAGGGGAUCGAAGACGAUCAGAUACCGUCGUAGUCUUAACCAUAAACUAAUGCCGACUAGGGAUCGGAUGAUGCUUAUUUUUUAAUGACUCU
rnacentral:sRNA from 1 species